CGGGAGGCAGCAGUAGGGAAUCUUCCGCAAUGGACGAAAGUCUGACGGAGCAACGCCGCGUGAGUGAUGAAGGUUUUCGGAUCGUAAAGCUCUGUUGUUAGGGAAGAACAAGUGCCGUUCAAAUAGGGCGGCACCUUGACGGUACCUAACCAGAAAGCCACGGCUAACUACGUGCCAGCAGCCGCGGUAAUACGUAGGUGGCAAGCGUUGUCCGGAAUUAUUGGGCGUAAAGGGCUCGCAGGCGGUUUCUUAAGUCUGAUGUGAAAGCCCCCGGCUCAACCGGGGAGGGUCAUUGGAAACUGGGGAACUUGAGUGCAGAAGAGGAGAGUGGAAUUCCACGUGUAGCGGUGAAAUGCGUAGAGAUGUGGAGGAACACCAGUGGCGAAGGCGACUCUCUGGUCUGUAACUGACGCUGAGGAGCGAAAGCGUGGGGAGCGAACAGGAUUAGAUACCCUGGUAGUCCACGCCGUAAACGAUGAGUGCUAAGUGUUAGGGGGUUUCCGCCCCUUAGUGCUGCAGCUAACGCAUUAAGCACUCCGCCUGGGGAGUACGGUCGCAAGACUGAAACUCAAAGGAAUUGACGGGGGCCCGCACAAGCGGUGGAGCAUGUGGUUUAAUUCGAAGCAACGCGAAGAACCUUACCAGGUCUUGACAUCCUCUGACAAUCCUAGAGAUAGGACGUCCCCUUCGGGGGCAGAGUGACAGUGGUGCAUGGUUGUCGUCAGCUCGUGUCGUGAGAUGUUGGGUUAAGUCCCGCACGAGCGCACCCUGAUCUAGUGCCAGCAUUCAGUUGGGCACUCUAGGUGACUGCCGGUGACAAACCCGGAGGA
rnacentral:rRNA from 1 species